rnacentral:rRNA from 1 species
AUACGUAGGGGGCGAGCGUUGUCCGGAAUCAUUGGGCGUAAAGGGCGCGUAGGCGGAUCAUUAAGUCUGGUGUGAAAUAUAGGGGCUCAACCCCUAAACUGCAUCGGAAACUGGUGAUCUUGAGGACAGGAGAGGAAAGUGGAAUUCCACGUGUAGCGGUGAAAUGCGUAGAGAUGUGGAGGAACACCAGUGGCGAAGGCGACUUUCUGGACUGUAACUGACGCUGAGGCGCGAAAGCGUGGGGAGCAAACAGGAUUAGAUACCCUGGUAGUCCACGCCGUAAACGAUGAGUGCUAGGUGUAGAGGGUAUCGACCCCCUCUGUGCCGCAGUUAACACAAUAAGAACUCCGCCUGGGGAGUACGGCCGCAAGGUUGAA